rnacentral:piRNA from 1 species
GCCCCUCCUGGGAGCGCAUGCGGAUCCAG